rnacentral:lncRNA from 1 species
GAAGCUGUGCUAUUCCCAAACUGGGAAACUGGAAUCACCUGAUUUGAAGGUGGGAUAACUUCUCCAUGCCAACUCCUAUGAGAUUUAUUCAACUUCCAGGUGAUUCUCCACCACUUUAUGUAUCCAAAUCAAGCUUUUCACAAAGUGAUUCAUCCUUGUUUGAUUGGAACGACGAAGAAGCUGUGCUAUUCCCAAACUUGGAAACUGGAAUCACCUGAUUUGAAAGUGGGAUAACUUCUUCAACUCCUAUGAGAUUUAUUCAACUUCCUGGUGAUUCUCCACCAUUUUAUGUAUCCAAAUCAAGCUUUUCACAAAGUGAUUCAUCCUGGUUUGAUUGGAACGACGAAGAAGUUGUGCUAUUCCCAAACUGGAAAACUGGAAUCACCUGAUUUGAAAGUGGGAUAACUUCUUCAUGCCAACUCCUAUGAGAUUUAUUAAACUUCCUGGUGAUUCUCCACCACUUUUUGUACCCAAAUCAAGCUUUCCACAAAGUGAUUCAUCCUGGUUUGAUUGGAACGAUGAAGAAGCUGUGCUAUUCCCAAACUGGGAAACUGGAAUCACAUGAUUUUAAAGUGGGAUAACUUCUUCAUGCCAACUCCUAUGAGAUUUAUUAAACUUCCUGGUGAUUCUCCACCACUUUUUGUACCCAAAUCAAGCUUUCCACAAAGUGAUUCAUCCUGGUUUGAUUGGAACGAUGAAGAAGCUGUGCUAUUCCCAAACUGGGAAACUGGAAUCACGUUUUUUGAAAGUGGGAUAACUUCUUCAUCCCAACUCCUAUGGGUUUAUUAAACUUCCUGGUGAUUCUCCACCACUUUAUGUAUCCAAAUCAAGCUUUUCACAAAGUGAUUCAUCCUGGUUUGAUUGGAACGAUGAAGAAGCUGUGCUAUUCCCAAACUUGAAAGCUGGAAUCACCUGAUUUGAAAGUGGGAUAACUUCUUCGUGCCAACUCUUAUGAGAUUUAUUCAACUUCUUGGUGAUUCUCCACCACUUUAUGUAUCUAAAUCAAGCUUCUUACAAAGAGAUUCAUCAUGGUUUGAUUGGAACGACGAAGAAGCUGUGCAAUUCUCAAACUGGGAAACUGGAAUCACCUAAUUUGAAAGUGGGAUAACUUCUUCAUGCCAACUCCUAUGAGAUUUAUUCAACUUCCUGGUGAUUCUCCACCACUUUAUGUAUCCAAAUCAAGCUUUUCACAAAGUGAUUCAUCCUGGUUUGAUUGGAACGACGAAGAAGCUGUGCUAUUCCCAAACUGGGAAACUGGAAUCACCUGAUUUGAAAGUGGGAUAACUUCUUCUUGCCAACUCCUAUGAGAUUUAUUCAACUUCCUGGUGAUUUUCCACCACUUUAUGUAUCCAAAUCAAGCUUCUUACAAAGAUAUUCAUCCUGUUUUGAUUGGAACGACGAAUAAGCUGUGCUAUUCCCAAAUUGGGAAACUGGAAUCACCUGAUUUGAAAGUGGGAUAACUUCUUCAUGCCAACUCCUAUGAAAUUUAUUCAACUUCCAGGUGAUUCUCCACCACUUUAUGUAUCCAAAUCAAGCUUUUCACAAAGUGAUUCAUCCUGGUUUGAUUGGAACGACGAAGAAGCUGUGCUAUUCCCAAACUGGGAAACUGGAAUCACCUGAUUUGAAAGUGGGAUAACUUCUUCUUGCCAACUCCUAUGAGAUUUAUUCAACUUCCUGGUGAUUCUCCACCACUUUAUGUAUCCAAAUCAAGCUUCUUACAAAGUGAUUCAUCCUGGUUUGAUUGGAACGACGAAGAAGCUGUGCUAUUCCCAAACUGUGAAACUGGAAUCACCUGAUUUGAAAGCGGGAUAACUUCUUCUUGCCAACUCCUAUGAGAUUUAUUCAACUUCCUGGUGAUUCUCCACCACUUUAUGUAUCCAAAUCAAGCAUCUCACAAAGAGAUUCAUCCUGGUUUGAUUGGAACGACGAAGAAGCUGUGCUAUUCCCAAACUGUGAAACUGGAAUCACCUGAUUUGAAAGUGGGAUAACUUCUUCAUCCCAACUCCUAUGAGAUUUAUUCAAUUUCCUGGUGAUUCUCCACCAGUUAAUGUAUCCAAAUAAAGCUUCUUACAAAGUGAUUCAUCCUGGUUUGAUUGGAACGACGAAGAAGCUGUGCUAUUCCCAAACUGGGAAACUGGAAUCACCUGAUUUGAAAGUGGGAUAACUUCUUCAUCCCAACUCCUAUGAGAUUUAUUCAACUUCCUGGUGAUUCUCCACCACUUUAUGUAUCCAAAGAAAGCUUCUCACGAAGAGAUUCAUCCUGGUUUGAUUGGAACGAUGAAGAAGCUGUGCUAUUCCCAAACUGGGAAACUGGAAUCACCUGAUUUGAAAGUGGGAUAACUUCUUCUUGCCAACUCCUAUGAGAUUUAUUCAACUUCCUGGUGAUUCUCCACCACUUUAGAGAGAUUUAUUCAACUUCCUGGCGAUUCUCCACCACUUUAUGUAUCCAAAUCAAGCUUCUUACAAAAUGAUUCAUCCUGGUUUUAUUGGAACGACGAAGAAGCUGUGCUAUUCCCAAACUGGAAAACUGGAAUCACCUGAUUUGAAAGUGGGAUAACUUCUUCAUCCCAACUCCUAUGAGAUUUAUUCAACUUCCUGGUGAUUCUCCACCACUUUAUGUAUCCAGAUCAAGCUUCUCACAAAGUGAUUCAUCCUGGUUUGAUUGGAACGACGAAGAAGCUGUGCUAUUCCCAAACUGGGAAACUGGAAUCACCUGAUUUGAAAGUGGGAUAACUUCUUCAUCCCAACUCGUAUGAGAUUUAUUCAACUUCCUGGUGAUUCUCCACCACUUUAUGUAUCCAAAUCAAGCUUCUUACAAAAUGAUUCAUCCUGGUUUGAUUGGAACGACGAAGAAGCUGUGCUAUUCCCGAACUGUGAAACUGGAAUCACCUAAUUUGAAAGUGGGAUUACUUCUUCUUGCCAACUCCUAUGAGAUUUAUUCAACUUCCUGGUGAUUCUCCACCAGUUAAUAUAUCCAAAUCAAGCUUCUUACAAAAUGAUUCAUCCUGGUUUGAUUGGAACGACGAAGAAGCUGUGCUAUUCCCAAACUGGGAAACUGGAAUCACCUGAUUUGAAAGUGGGAUAACUUCUUCAUCCCAACUCCUAUGAGAUUUAUUCAACUUCCUGGUGAUUCUUCACCACUUUAUGUAUCCAAAUCAAGCUUCUCACAAAGAGAUUCAUCCUGGUUUGAUUGGAACGACGAAGAAGCUUUGCUAUUCCCAAACUGGGAAACUGGAAUCACCUGAUUUGAAAGUGGGAUAACUUCUUCAUCCCAACUCCUAUGAGAUUUAUUCAACCUCCUGGUGAUUCUCCACCACUUUAUAUAUCCAGAUCAAGCUUCUUACAAAGUGAUUCAUCCUGGUUUGAUUGGAACGACGAAGAAGCUGUGCUAUUCCCAAACUGGGAAACUGGAAUCACCUUAUUUGAAAGUGGGAUAACUUCUUCAUCCCAACUCCUAUGAGAUUUAUUCAACUUCCUGGUGAUUUUACACCACUUUAUGUAUCCAAAUCAAGCUUCUCACAAAGUGAUUCAUCCUG